UGAUCGGGGCUAAGUCGUGACAAGGUAGCAGUAGGUGAACCUGCAGAAGGAUCA
rnacentral:rRNA from 1 species